rnacentral:lncRNA from 1 species
CAGCUUCUUAGGGUCAAGGGGUAGUGUCUUUGUGAAGGCAUCCCCUAGAAAUGCAACAGGAAGAAUGCUGACAUCCCCAUUGAUCUUCGUACAGUUUUUGAAGGAGUCGAUGUUUGUGGCAUUUAUGGAUAGGAUCCCUUUAAGUUCACCUAUUCCAAUGCCAUUGCACACUUUGCUACAUAGCCCAUCACAUUUUUUACACUUCCGAACACCAUUUUCU